AUACGGAGGAUCCGAGCGUUAUCCGGAUUUAUUGGGCUUAAAGGGAGCGUAGGUGGAUUGUUAAGUCAGUUGUAAAAGUUUGCGGCUCAACCGUAAAAUUGCAGUUGAAACUGGCAGUCUUGAGUACAGUAGAGGUGGGCGGAAUUCGUGGUGUAGCGGUGAAAUGCUUAGAUAUCACGAAGAACUCCGAUUUCGAAGGCAGCUCACUAGACUGUUACUGACACUGAUGCUCGAAAGUGUGGGUAUCAAACAGGAUUAGAUACCCUGGUAGUCCACACAGUAAACGAUGAAUACUCGCUGUUUGCGAUAUACAGUAAGCGGCCAAGCGAAAGCAUUAAGUAUUCCACCUGGGGAGUACGCCGGCAACGGUGAAACUCAAAUGAAUUGACGGGG
rnacentral:rRNA from 1 species